GCCAGGCAUGGUGGCUUGUGCCUGUAAUCCCAGCUACUUGGGAGGCUCAGGCAGGAGGAUUGCUUGAGCCCAGGAGGUGGAGGUUGCAGUGAGCCAAGAUCACGCCACUGCACUCCAGCCUGGACAACAGAGCAACAUUCUGUUUUUU
rnacentral:SRP_RNA from 1 species